GUGAGUUCUCUGGUGCCUGGAUACCGGUGACUAACGGUGGCCAUGUUUUGACCCACCAAUAACAUCAUAACAUCUGGCCCAAAGAAUUCUCUAGGAAUGAGCGAAACGACGUCGCUGAGGAAUAUGCAAUUAAAGAUAAAUACAGUAACUUUAGUAAGUUUGCUGGGAAGGUAUUUAUGUAAUUUUACAUCCGAAAAAUAAUUUUUGUUUCUUUUUUAAAUAAAAGUCUUGAUGUUCUAUUGGAUAAGAAGCAUCAUCAUGGUGGAGCACCGUACCAGCAGAAAAUGAAUGCGUAUGCUCUUUUACUGAAACUCGAAGCACCGUAUGUUGGGACUUGGAGCCACUGGAAGAAGUGGCAGUUAGAAGUGUCUGAAAGAACAGCGGCAGCUCAUCAGCGUC
rnacentral:lncRNA from 1 species